GUUUCCGUAGUGUAGCGGUUAUCACGUCUGCUUCACACGCAGAAGGUAACCCGCUUCGAUCCCGGGCGGGAACA